rnacentral:rRNA from 1 species
GCUUGUCUCAAAGAUUAAGCCAUGCAUGUCUAAGUAUAAAUAACUACACAGUAAAACUGCGAAUGGCUCAUUAAAACAGUUAUAGUUUAUUUGAUACAUUAAAUGGAUAACUGUAGAAAAACUAGAGCUAAUACAUGCCAAGACCGAAAGGUUGUAUUUAUUAGAUAUACCAAGUGGGUGAAUCAUAAUAACUUCGCAAAUCGCGGCAUCGCUGCGAUAAAUCAUUCAAGUUUCUGCCCUAUCAUGCUUUCGAUGGUAGUGUAUUGGACUACCAUGGCUCUCACGGGUAACGGGGAAUUAGGGUUCGAUUCCGGAGAGGGAGCCUGAGAAAUGGCUACCACAUCCAAGGAAGGCAGCAGG